UCGAGCGGACAGAUGGGAGCUUGCUCCCUGAUGUUAGCGGCGGACGGGUGAGUAACACGUGGGUAACCUGCCUGUAAGACUGGGAUAACUCCGGGAAACCGGGGCUAAUACCGGAUGGUUGUUUGAACCGCAUGGUUCAAACAUAAAAGGUGGCUUCGGCUACCACUUACAGAUGGACCCGCGGCGCAUUAGCUAGUUGGUGAGGUAACGGCUCACCAAGGCAACGAUGCGUAGCCGACCUGAGAGGGUGAUCGGCCACACUGGGACUGAGACACGGCCCAGACUCCUACGGGAGGCAGCAGUAGGGAAUCUUCCGCAAUGGACGAAAGUCUGACGGAGCAACGCCGCGUGAGUGAUGAAGGUUUUCGGAUCGUAAAGCUCUGUUGUUAGGGAAGAACAAGUACCGUUCGAAUAGGGCGGUACCUUGACGGUACCUAACCAGAAAGCCACGGCUAACUACGUGCCAGCAGCCGCGGUAAUACGUAGGUGGCAAGCGUUGUCCGGAAUUAUUGGGCGUAAAGGGCUCGCAGGCGGUUUCUUAAGUCUGAUGUGAAAGCCCCCGGCUCAACCGGGGAGGGUCAUUGGAAACUGGGGAACUUGAGUGCAGAAGAGGAGAGUGGAAUUCCACGUGUAGCGGUGAAAUGCGUAGAGAUGUGGAGGAACACCAGUGGCGAAGGCGACUCUCUGGUCUGUAACUGACGCUGAGGAGCGAAAGCGUGGGGAGCGAACAGGAUUAGAUACCCUGGUAGUCCACGCCGUAAACGAUGAGUGCUAAGUGUUAGGGGUUUCCGCCCCUUAGUGCUGCAGCUAACGCAUUAAGCACUCCGCCUGGGGAGUACGGUCGCAAGACUGAAACUCAAAGGAAUUGACGGGGGCCCGC
rnacentral:rRNA from 1 species